rnacentral:rRNA from 1 species
CAGCAGCCGCGGUAAUACGAAGGGUGCAAGCGUUAAUCGGAGUUACUGGGCGUAAAGCGUGCGUAGGCGGUGAGUUAAGUCUGCUGUGAAAUCCCCGGGCUCAACCUGGGAAUGGCAGUGGAUACUGGCUCGCUAGAGUGUGUCAGAGGAUGGUGGAAUUCCCGGUGUAGCGGUGAAAUGCGUAGAGAUCGGGAGGAACAUCAGUGGCGAAGGCGGCCAUCUGGGACAACACUGACGCUGAGGCACGAAAGCGUGGGGAGCAAACAGGAUUAGAUACCCCAGUAGUCCCUGUCUCUUAUAC